CUACUAACAUAAUGGCCGCCGCAAUUAGAACAAAGAUGAAACCCAAGACAACAGAAGUGUGACCCAAAGCAACAGCAGAGACUGGCUCGUACAUGCACAUGCAGGAAGUGCUAAAACCUACAACAUGGCCGACGGGGAGAAGACGCUGUCGAAGUGAAGGCAUGUACAUAAGACCGCUCAUCCUGAAGAGACGAGGCAAAAAUCAAGAGCCGGCCUCCGGAGAGAGAGAGAGAGAGAGAGAGAGAAGGCCGCUAACUUCCUCGGAGCGUUGUGAUCAUCUUCAUCAUCCCGAUCGGAUCUGCCGUGGAGCUCGGGAGGACGUCAGGGAGCGAACAUCUCAGGAAGUCAUCGGAUGUUGAAACGUGCUCAGAGAAGACACCUCGCAGCACACGAUGCAUGACGGGAAGGCAAGAACACCUCGUUGGCUCAGAACCAGCCAAGUUUGCAGUUUGUGAAAGCUUCAUGUAUGCAGUACUCCCGCCACACUGCAGGGGACAACAGCGGAGCAUGUGUCACAAAGAAGCAGCAGUGGAACCAGCCAAUUUGAUGUCAAGUUUGCAGUUACGUGAAAGCUUCAGGUAUGCAGUACUCCCGCCACGCUGCAGGGGGCAACAGGGAAGCAUGUGUGUCACAGUGAAGCAGCAGUGGGCUUUCGCAGGCCACAUAGAAUGAUAUGGCGGGCCAGAACUGGCCCCCGGGCCUUGACUUUGACACCUGUGGGCUAAGACCAUCGCCUGAAACCCAGAAGUGCCCGGAUGUGCCUCUUGGUCAUGUGAUUGCAACCCACCUAUAAGGAAAAACACA